rnacentral:rRNA from 1 species
AAUGAACGCUGGCGGCGCGCCUAAUACAUGCAAGUCGAGCGAGAAGACGUAGCAAUACGUUUGUAAAGCGGCGAACGGGUGAGGAAUACAUGGGUAACCUACCCUCGAGUGGGGAAUAACUAGCCGAAAGGUUAGCUAAUACCGCGUACGCUCCUUGGACUUCGGUUCAGGGAGGAAAGCGAUACCGUGGGUAUCGCGCUCUUGGUUGGGCUCAUGUCCUAUCAGCUUGUUGGUGAGGAACGGCUCACCAAGGCUUCGACGGGUAGCUGGUCUGAGAGGACGAUCAGCCACACUGGCACUGCGACACGGGCCAGACUCCUACGGGAGGCAGCAGUAAGGAAUAUUGCGCAAUGGGCGAAAGCCUGACGCAGCGACGCCGCGUGGGGGAUGAAGGUCUUCGGAUUGUAAACCCCCUUUCGGGAGGGAAGAUAGAAUGGGGUAACCCAUUCGGACGGUACCUCCAGAAGCAGCCACGGCUAACUUCGU